rfam:Pan troglodytes isolate Yerkes chimp pedigree #C0471 (Clint) chromosome 8, whole genome shotgun sequence.
UUUUCAGGGUAAGUAUGUUCCAUGCAAUAUUUGGUAUGUAUUUAUCCUAAAA